AGAGUUUGAUCCUGGCUCAGAACGUACGCUGGCGGCACGCCUAAUACAUGCAAGUCGAACGGAGUAGCAAUACUUAGUGGCAGACGGGUGAGUAACAUGUGGGUAUCUUCCCUUUGGUGAGGAAUAACACGAGGAAACUUGUGCUAAUACCUCAUAAGUCUUUACAGAGAAAGCUUUAUGCGCCAAUGGAUGAGCCCGCACUUGAUUAGUUUGUUGGUGGGGUAAUGGCCUACCAAGACGGUGAUCAAUAGCUGAUCUGAGAGGAUGAUCAGCCACAUUGGAACUGAGACACGGUCCAAACUCCUACGGGAGGCAGCAGUAGGGAAUCUUGCACAAUGGAGGAAACUCUGAUGCAGCGAUGCCGCGUGAGUGAAGAAGGCCUUUGGGUUGUAAAGCUCUUUCGUCGGGGAAGAAAAUGACUGUACCCGAAUAAGAAGGUCCGGCUAACUUCGUGCCAGCAGCCGCGGUAAUACGAAGGGACCUAGCGUAGUUCGGAAUUACUGGGCUUAAAGAGUUCGUAGGUUGUUAAAAAAGUUGGUGGUGAAAUCCCAGAGCUUAACUCUGGAACUGCCAUCAAAACUUUUUAGCUAGAGUAUGAUAGAGGAAAGCAGAAUUUCUAGUGUAGAGGUGAAAUUCGUAGAUAUUAGAAAGAAUACCGAUUGCGAAGGCAGCUUUCUGGAUCAUUACUGACACUGAGGAACGAAAGCAUGGGUAGCGAAGAGGAUUAGAUACCCUCGUAGUCCAUGCCGUAAACGAUGUGUGUUAGACGUUGGAAAUUUAUUUUCAGUGUCGCAGCGAAAGCAAUAAACACACCGCCUGGGGAGUACGACCGCAAGGUUAAAACUCAAAUGAAUUGACGGGGACCCGCACAAGUAGUGGAGCAUGUGGUUUAAUUCGAAGAUACGCGCAGAACCUUACCAACACUUGACAUGUUCGUCGCGACUCUAAGAGAUUAGAGUUUUCGGUUCGGCCGGACGAAACACAGGUGCUGCAUGGCUGUCGUCAGCUCGUGUCGUGAGAUGUUGGGUUAAGUCCCGCAACGAGCGCAACCCUCACUUUUAGUUGCCAUCAUUAAGUUGGGCACUCUGAAAGAACUGCCAGUGAUAAGCUGGAGGAAGGUGGGGAUGACGUCAAGUCCUCAUGGCCCUUACGUGUUGGGCUACACACGUGCUACAAUGGUAUCUACAACAGGAAGCAAAACAGCGAUGUUAAGCAAAUCCCAAAAAGAUACCUCAGUUCGGAUUGCACUCUGCAACUCGAGUGCAUGAAGCUGGAAUUACUAGUAAUCGUGGAUCAGCGUGCCACGGUGAAUACGUUCCCGGGUCUUGUACACACCGCCCGUCACACCAUGGGAGUUGGUUCUACCUUAAGGCAAGGUUUCAAACCCUUGACCACGGUAUAGUCAGCGACUGGGGUGAAGUCGUAACAAGGUAACC
rnacentral:rRNA from 1 species